rnacentral:rRNA from 1 species
UACGAAGGGGGCUAGCGUUGCUCGGAAUUACUGGGCGUAAAGCGCACGUAGGCGGCUCUUUAAGUCGGGGGUGAAAUCCUGGAGCUCAACUCCAGAACUGCCUUUGAUACUGAGAAGCUUGAGUCCGGGAGAGGUGAGUGGAACUGCGAGUGUAGAGGUGAAAUUCGUAGAUAUUCGCAAGAACACCAGUGGCGAAGGCGGCUCACUGGCCCGGUACUGACGCUGAGGUGCGAAAGCGUGGGGAGCAAACAGG